rnacentral:rRNA from 1 species
GACGAACGCUGGCGGCGUGCUUAACACAUGCAAGUCGAACGGAAAGGCCCCUUUGGGGGUACUCGAGUGGCGAACGGGUGAGUAACACGUGAGUAACCUGCCCUUGACUUCGGGAUAACUUCAGGAAACUGGGGCUAAUACCGGAUAGGAAUCCUUGCUGCAUGGUGGGGGUUGGAAAGCUUCGGCGGUUUUGGAUGGACUCGCGGCUUAUCAGCUUGUUGGUGGGGUCGUGGCUUACCAAGGCUUUGACGGGUAGCCGGCCUGAGAGGGCGCCCGGCCACAUUGGAGCGGGUGUAGCGCCGAGCCGCCUACGGAGGGCGGCAGUGGGGAAUAUUGCGACAUCGGCGGGGGACUGGUGCAGCAACGCGGGGUGCGGGAGGGCGGCGUUCGGGUCGUAACCGGGUGUCAGCAGGGGAGGUGGUUGUGGCGGCGGCCCCUGCAGAAGAAGCACCGGCUACCUGCGGGCCGGCAGACCAGCUAAUAAUCGGAAGAGCACACGCCUGACC